rnacentral:rRNA from 1 species
CAGCCGCCGCGGUAAUACGUAGGGCGCAAGCGUUAUCCGGAAUUAUUGGGCGUAAAGAGCUCGUAGGCGGUUUGUCGCGUCUGCCGUGAAAGUCCGGGGCUCAACUCCGGAUCUGCGGUGGGUACGGGCAGACUAGAGUGAUGUAGGGGAGACUGGAAUUCCUGGUGUAGCGGUGAAAUGCGCAGAUAUCAGGAGGAACACCGAUGGCGAAGGCAGGUCUCUGGGCAUUAACUGACGCUGAGGAGCGAAAGCAUGGGGAGCGAACAGG